CUUGAAUCUCCAUUAGUUUCUUGCACCAGCUAGCAUUAAAAUACUUCAAGUUUCUCAAGUUGGAGAGAUCUGGUAAUCUUUUCAUAGACCGGCACCCCAUAAAAUCCAAGGUCUCCAAGGAGUCCAAUCGAUCGAGGCCUUGAAUCUCCGUUAGUUUCUCGCACCCGCUAGCUUCUAAACACUUCAAGUUUCUCAACUGGAUAGUUUCCCAAUUUUCCUUAAUGAUUUACAAUUUUCCAUCAUCAACAGCUCCAGGGAGUCCAGUCCCUCAAGGCCCUCAAUCUCAGAUAACAUUGAAUAAUCCUUGAGUCUUAAUUCCUUCAUUUUCUCAAGCCGGAUAUUUUCCCAAUUUUUCUUAAUGAUCUGCAGUUCUUCAUCAUAAACAGCUCUAGGGAGUCCAACCUUUCGAUGCCUUCAAUCUCUGCUAAGCUCUGACAAUUAUCAAGAUUUAAUCUCUUUAAAUUUCUCAACCCUACCAAU